rnacentral:rRNA from 1 species
UGUCCGGAUUUAUUGGGCGUAAAGGGAGUGUAGGCGGUCUUUUAAGUCUGGUGUGAAAGCCCACGGCUCAACCGUGGAGGGUCAUUGGAAACUGGAAAACUUGAGUGCAGAAGAGGAAAGUGGAAUUCCAUGUGUAGCGGUGAAAUGCGCAGAGAUAUGGAGGAACACCAGUGGCGAAGGCGACUUUCUGGUCUGUAACUGACGCUGAUGUGCGAAAGCGUGGGGACCAAACAGGAUUAGAUACCCUGGUAGUCCACGCCGUAAACGAUGAGUGCUAAGUGUUAGGGGGUUUCCGCCCCUUAGUGCUGCAGCUAACGCAUUAAGCACUCCGCCUGGGGAGUACGACCGCGAGGUUGAAACUC